GAUGAACGCUGGCGGCGUGCUUAACACAUGCAAGUCGAACGGAAAGGCCUCAGCUUGCUGGGGUACUCGGGUGGCGAACGGGUUAGUAACACGUGGGUGAUCUGCCCUGCACUUUGGGAUAAGCGUGGGGAACUGGGUCUAAUACCGAAUAUGACCACUUCUUCGGUGUUGUGUUGGAAAGCGUUCGCGGUGUGGGGUGAGCCGUCGGCCUGUCAGCUGGUUGGUGGGGUAAUGGUCUACCAAGGCGGCGACGGGUAUCCGGCCUGAGAGGGUGUACGGACACAUUGGAACUGAGAUACGGCCCAGACUCCUACGGGAGGCAGCAGUGGGGAAUAUUGCACAAUGGGCGCAAGCCUGAUGCAGCGACGCCGCGUGGGGGAUGAAGGCCUUCGGGUUGUAAACUCCUUUCGCUAUCGACGAAGCCACUUGUGGUGACGGUAGGUAGAUAAGAAGCACCGGCUAACUACGUGCCAGCAGCCGCCGUAA
rnacentral:rRNA from 1 species